rnacentral:misc_RNA from 1 species
AAGUCGUAACAAGGUUUCCGUAGGUGAACCUGCGGAAGGAUCAUUACUGAAAAAACCCGAGGAUGUUGCUGGCGGUGCGCAAGCGUUCGCACGUGCACUCCUUGAACUAUUUCCGACCCUUCUUACACCAUGUGCACCUGCUGUAGGUCGACCGACCUAUGUUUUUUAAUACAAAACUCCAUCGAAUGUAUAUGAAUGUACGAUUGCAAGGGCAGUCAAUAAAGCACAACUUUCAACAAUGGAUCUCUUGGCUCUC